GGCGUGCCUAAUAAUGCAAGUCGAACGCCAGCGAAAGGUGCUUGCACCUUUCAAGUGAGUGGCGAACGGGUGAGUAACACGUGGACAACCUGCCUCAAGGCUGGGGAUAACAUUUGGAAACAGAUGCUAAUACCGAAUAAAACUUAGUGUCGCAUGACACAAAGUUAAAAGGCGCUUCGGCGUCACCUAGAGAUGGAUCCGCGGUGCAUUAGUUAGUUGGUGGGGUAAAGGCCUACCAAGACAAUGAUGCAUAGCCGAGUUGAGAGACUGAUCGGCCACAUUGGGACUGAGACACGGCCCAAACUCCUACGGGAGGCUGCAGUAGGGAAUCUUCCACAAUGGGCGAAAGCCUGAUGGAGCAACGCCGCGUGUGUGAUGAAGGCUUUCGGGUCGUAAAGCACUGUUGUAUGGGAAGAACAGCUAGAAUAGGAAAUGAUUUUAGUUUGACGGUACCAUACCAGAAAGGGACGGCUAAAUACGUGCCAGCAGCCGCGGUAAU
rnacentral:rRNA from 1 species